AAAUGGAAUAUGUACGGCCAGUAACCAGGUUUGAGUUUCCACUUCUCAUUUUCUAUUCUGAUAGGACGGUGAACGUCUGAACGUACCCGGUGUCUGUUGUCUCAGUGUCUAGUUGUUGUUUUGUGUUUGUGGGAUUCAUUUACACUCUCUGCUCAUCGAAUUUAACCGGUGCCCAGACUCUUACUUCUUGAUCAACUUGCUUCAACAUAUAUUUUGCUGAUCUAUCAACACUCAUUCUUGGGCGAGGGAAAUUUAUAUGAAUAAGAAAGGAUUCGUGGACGAGGUAAUGAAAGGAAAAGGAGAUACAUUAAGCGGAAGGUAAA